rnacentral:piRNA from 1 species
UGAGCCCGCUUAUUGAAAAGA